GGCCCGUUGGUCAAGCGGUUAAGACACCGCCUUUUCACGGCGGUAACACGGGUUCGAAUCCCGUACGGGUCA
rnacentral:tRNA from 1 species